rnacentral:rRNA from 1 species
GACGUAGGGCGCGAGCGUUGUCCGGAUUUAUUGGGCGUAAAGAGCUCGUAGGCGGCUUGUUGCGUCGACUGUGAAAACCCGCGGCUUAACUGCGGGCUUGCAGUUGAUACGGGCAGGCUAGAGUUCGGUAGGGGAGACUGGAAUUCCUGGUGUAGCGGUGAAAUGCGCAGAUAUCAGGAGGAACACCAACGGCGAAGGCAGCUCUCUGGGACGUUACUGACGCUGAGACGCGAAAGCGUGGGGAGCAAACAGG